AUGGGUCCUGCCACCAUCCUUACCCUCCUCCUGGCUGUCUUCCCAGGUGUCUGCACCCAGGUGCAGCUGAUGCAGUCUGCACCAGAGGUGAAAAGCCCUGGACAGUCUCUGAGGAUCUCCUGUAAGACAUCUGGAUACGCCUUUACCAGCUACUGGAUCAGCUGGUUCUGCCAGAUGCCCGGGAAAGGACUGGAGUGGAUUGGGAUGAUCUAUCCUGGUGACUUGGAUACAUGCUAUGGCACGUCCUUCCAAGGCCAUGUCAUGAUCCCCAUGAAGAAUUCCAUCAGCACCUCCUACUUGCAGUGGAGCAGCCUGAGUCCUCAGACACAGCCAUGUAUUACUGUGCGAGGGACACAGUGA